rnacentral:lncRNA from 1 species
CGACCGUUUGAAAACCGUGACUCUGGCUGCAAACGGAAGAGGGGGAAACUGUAAAUGAGAAAGGAAGCCAUUAAGAACGAAAACUACCUCUCUCUGCGCCAGCUCCGCACCAUCGCCCCAGGUUUCCGGCUUCGCUGCGUGCUUCUCAGGCCUCGGACACCAGCGGCCCCUCUCAGGAGCCGGCAGCCCCCACCCGGCGUGGGCUCAGUGAGGGCCCAGCUGCAGCCCCCACUGAGCACCCCAACGGCCACCGCGGUCCAUCCACACAAGGCCCUGCCUGCCUGGGAGCCCGGGGCUGGUCCUUUACCUGCCGCCCCUUUCUCACCCGCCCUAGCCCCACGCACCCGGAAGUGGAGAUCCAGCCUGAAGAGGCCGCUGGGAGGGCCCUGGGGUGGCCCCCUGAGAUGCCCUGUGGCUCAGGAGGAAUUCCAGCCCUGGGAGAGGCUAUCCUGGGCCCGCCGCUGCCCUCAGCCACCACAGGCCACAGGCCCCUAACAAGGUCCAGGCCAGGCGUGGAGACCCCGCUGCUGGCUAGCCAGCCCCCAGCCUUCACAGGGCCCACCAGUCAGAGGACAGUGAGACCAUCGCCCUCUAACUCCCCGCAACCCAUCAGCUCUCAGCCAAAUGUGAAAUGGGGGUGGGGGGCUUCCAAUUCCAGGAACGGGAUCAUGGUAACAUCAAGACCCACCAGAGAUUCGGCAAGGGCGUGGAACAAUCAGAAACAUAAGAGAAUGGGAUAGCAGCUGAGGAUGCGGAGGGGCCCCAAAGCUCGCCAUCAGAGGUACCUCCUGGAUCAGUCAGGGGUUCAAAGGGGAAAAGAGCAGCGAAGAGAUUCUGAAAUGGCCCGUGGGGAACAGGGGGCUGGACUGAGUGUUACUGGGAGAUUCAAAGUCAGGAAGGCCUGCACUCCCAUCCUGCCUCGCCAGGCUCUGUGGCCUCAGAGCAGGCAUCCGACUCCACUGAGCCCCGGUCUCUCCAGAGACACCUCACUCUGCCCCCGGGAAAAUCCACAAAACCGGUGUUCUCGGGACGCCUUGAUUCAGCCUGGAAGACAAGUGUGUCCCCACCCCGGGCCCGUACCUGCUCAGGGACCCUGCAGGAGCUGGGGAGGCGGGGAAGGCAGGCACCUCCACCAAGGCAUCCAGGCCUCUCUCACCUCAUCUCUUGCGGCAACCCGCAUGGCGCUCAACACUCCCGCCACACCUGACUGCUCGUCUGCGCCCUCGCUCUGCCCUGGCUCGGCUGCUCCCUCUGCCUUCCCUCCAGCUCUUCGAGCCUGA